CAGUAGCCGCGGUAAUACGUAGGGUGCGAGCGUUAAUCGGAAUUACUGGGCGUAAAGCGUGCGCAGGCGGUUCGUUAAGACAGAUGUGAAAUCCCCGGGCUUAACCUGGGAACUGCAUUUGUGACUGGCGAGCUAGAGUAUGGCAGAGGGGGGUAGAAUUCCACGUGUAGCAGUGAAAUGCGUAGAGAUGUGGAGGAAUACCGAUGGCGAAGGCAGCCCCCUGGGCCAAUACUGACGCCCAUGCACGAAAGCGUGGGGAGCAAACAGGAUUAGAGACCCGAGUAGUCCCUGUCUCUUAUAA
rnacentral:rRNA from 1 species